GAUGAAGAACGCAGUGAAAUGCGAUAAGUAAUGUGAAUUGCAGAAUUCAGUGAAUCAUCGAAUCUUUGAACGCACCUUGCGCCCCUUGGUUAUUCCAAAGGGCAUGCUUGUUUGAGUAUCAUGAACACCUCAACUCUUGUGGUUUCCCACAAUGAGCUUGGACUGUGGAGGUUUUGUUGGCCCUGUGGUCAGCUCCUCUCAAAUGGAUCAGCUUACCGGUGUUUGGUGGCAUUACGGGUGUGAUAACUAUCUACGCUCGUGGUCGUCUCCAAAUAACCUCCAGUGAUGGAGGUUCGCUGGAGCUUAUAAAUGUCUCUCCCCAGUGAAGACAGCCUUUGAACGUUCGAUCUCAAAUCAGGUAGGACUACCCGCUGAACUUAAGCAUAUCAAUAAGCGGAGGA
rnacentral:misc_RNA from 1 species